GGGCCUGUAGCUCAGUUGGUUAGAGCAAACCGCUCAUAACGGUUUGGUCGGGGGUUCGAUUCCCUCCGGGCCUA
rnacentral:tRNA from 1 species